rnacentral:rRNA from 1 species
UACGUAGGGUGCAAGCGUUGUCCGGAAUUACUGGGCGUAAAGCGUGCGCAGGCGGCUAUGCAAGACAGAUGUGAAAUCCCCGGGCUCAACCUGGGAACUGCAUUUGUGACUGCAUAGCUAGAGUACGGUAGAGGGGGAUGGAAUUCCGCGUGUAGCAGUGAAAUGCGUAGAUAUGCGGAGGAACACCGAUGGCGAAGGCAAUCCCCCUGGACCUGUACUGACGCUCAUGCACCGAAAGGCGUGGGGAGCAAACGAGG